rnacentral:rRNA from 1 species
AUUGGUCAAUGGAAGCAAGUCUGAACCAGCCAUGCCGCGUGCAGGAUGACGGCUCUAUGAUUUUUAAACUGCUUUUGUACGAGGGUAAACCCCGAUACGUGUAUCGGGUUGAAAGUAUCGUACGAAUAAGGCUCGGCUAACUCCGUGCCAGCAGCCGCGGUAAUACGGAGGAUCCGAGCGUUAUCCGGAUUUAUUGGGUUUAAAGGGUGCGUAGGCGGUUUGAUAAGUUAGAGGUGAAAUGUCGGGGCUCAACCCCGAAACUGCCUAUAAUACUGUUGGACUAGAGAAUAGUUGCGGUAGGCGGAAUGUAUGGUGUAGCGGUGAAAUGCUUAGAGAUCAUACAGAACACCGAUUGCGAAGGCAGCUUACCAAACUAUAUCUGACGUUGAGGCACGAAAGCGUGGGUAGCAAACAGG